UCUCAACCAAAAUUCGGAUCUUCACGAACCAAGGAAACUCAACGCUCUGAAGAACUCGUAUCCAAAUGACACGCGUAAUAACAUGAAAGAAAAAGAAAAAAACGUUGAUGUCGAAAACGAAAACUCUCACCGUCUGUGCCUAAAUCCUUUUCGCGAGCGACCUGAAUCCCUCCGUGCAAAAUUCACAUUUCCGCGCCGUUGAUGAUGAAGCUUUUGUUCGAUGCGUUGUUGGGUUCCUGAUUGCGAUGAAGACGAAGCCUCUUGAAUCAUGAGUUUUCCCUUUCAAUUUCUUGUUACAAUUUCGAUUCUUCUCUUCCCCGAAUCUUCUGUUUAUUCUUUCUUUGUGAAGUUCUCUUUAACUAUCUCCUUUUUCUUUGAUUUGAAGAUGGUUAAGAGAAUUUCGUUUUUGGGAAUGUCUGCUUCAAGGUUUAUUCCACGAAUUCGCGAUAUAGGAUUCGAAGAGGCUAGAAUGGUGAUUUAUGUUAGAAGGUUCGAAGAUUUGCAGGCUUUGGUUAAGGAGCUUGGAUUGUGAUCAAGUUUGGAGAUGCACCUUUUGCUCGUGGAUGUUUGGAAUUUAUUGUUGAAUGUAAAGUUGGGUUUAUGGUUGUAAUUAGACGUAGUUAGAAAUUUGGAAUUGUAAUUGUAAUGAUGUAUUAUGAUUCAUAGUUGAAUUGAAACGGUGUAAAUCUUGUAUGGAAUUGUAUGCAAAAUAUGAAAUUUGAAAUUGGAAUGAAAAAGAGUUUAAUGAA